rnacentral:lncRNA from 1 species
GUGAGACAAAUAUUUUCAUUAUCAAACUUUUUUGUUUUUAAUCAAUUAAUUAAUUAAAAAUUGAAUUUAUCAUAGAGACAUAGAUAAUGGUGAACAUUUAAAUUAUUUUAUUAAUAAUUUAUUUUAAGAGUACAAGUGUUCACCAUAUUCAUAUUCGUGUUCUUAACAAGAUUUUAACUUGUCUAUACGCUUAUAAAUAACAUAGGAGUGUCUAUGAGCUUUAUUGUUUUGUUCGUUCGCAGAUACACCUAAACAUACGGCACUUCAAGACAUAAGGAGAGCGACAUAUACUGGAAUCACAAUGUUCGACUUUGUAGCAGAAUAUUUUAUCUGUCAUGUUAAAUAAAAAUUAAGGUAUGUUAAUAAAAAGAGAUCAACCACUAUGUGUAAGAAUAGAAGAUAAUUUAAAAUAGGUGUUAGAAAGAACUUACUAUUGCUGGUUACAAGAACAACUAGAGAAAGAAAGAUGAUUAAAGCAUUAAUGAAUUUGAGUUUCCUAGUCAUACUUUUUCCUCUUUUGUAUAUAAUAAG